GUGAGAGCAUCCUCCUUUUCUUCCAGACGGAUCGGGAUCGCACGCAUGGGUCCUGACUGCAGAGAGAGAUAGGAGACGAGGGGCUCGGUGCGAGCUGCAAACAAAUAAUCUUCAAAGAGUGAUAAUCCGUGGAGGUGCAGCAACUGGAAGACAAAGAGAGCAGUAGUGACAAGAGGAAGGAGGAGCACAGUGCUAUAGAGCAACGCUAGGCUGCAUUUAUAUGGUGCAUUCAUCUCAACUUAAUCCCCAGAGAACUUUGGCUCCUUCUCCGGUUACAAGCUGAAUCUCCAGAAAAGUGAGUGCUUCCCAGUCAAUCCAGAAGCGCAACAGCUCCAGCAGACAGAC